GAUCCUCUUCUUUCGAACAAUCUUCGGUAGAGCAAUUUCUUAUCACUUCAACAGCUCGAAGAUUGAAGACAUGGGUUACUUGCAAGCAAAGGGCCCUCGUGACUACGUAGAAGCAUCCUUUCCAUACACCCCAUGUUGGAUGGGGGAGUUGUCAUAACAGCUUGUAAUUGUUUUUAGAAAUAUUAUUUGAAUUAGCAAAUGUUAUUCAUGUCCAAACUUGUAUGUACAAAUUUUUGUUCUACGGACAUGCACAAAUAUAUUGAAAGCAAGUUUCAGCC
rnacentral:lncRNA from 1 species